UGGUUGCUCUUAGUUACCGCAGCUGUUUGAAUGUGGGAAAAGCGGUCCUCGUCGAUGCCUCCUGUCGUCUGUACUUGAUCUAAACAGUCUUAGAUCGGUCUUUAACACCGGUCCUGGUUCGGACCCAGUCGUUUAACCGGAGCGCCACCCACAGGUCGCAGAACAUUUACCUUGGCAGGCAACAGGAGGCAUCAGCAGCCCGAAUGCUGCACAGCUGCUGAGGUUCCGUCAUGUGAUGCAUCAGUGGAGUAACAACAUCAGUGUCAGGAAUAGAACUGUCACACAGAACUCUGGCUAAAUGCACACUGAGCAAAUAUGAAAUGAGAAUGUGGUUACAUCAAUGAAUAGACUGAACCAAUGCUUAAAGGAUUUAUUGAAUGAA